rnacentral:tRNA from 1 species
GGUUUCUUAGCUCAGUUGUAGAGCGCGUGGUUUUUAACCACGAGGUGGUGGGUUCAAUCCCCACAGAAGGUG